rnacentral:lncRNA from 1 species
CAAAAUUAUCCAAAACGAAUAAAACAUCUCAUUUUUAAACUAUCAUCCCGAAUCAUCCAAGACAAAUGCCUACAAAAAGUAACAUGAGAUUAACAAUAAUAAUAAUAAUGAUAACUAAAAUGAAAUAAACAAAAUAAAUUCAAAAACCAAAAAAAAAACUAAAAAUCCUAACUUGAUUUAUAUUUUAUUCAAACAAUCAUCAGGAAUUAUCCCAAAGCUAAAAAAAAUAAGCACAAUAUAACUUUUCAUUAAUAUCCAAAUUAUUGAAAACUAAAAAAACUUGCAAAAUAUUUCAACUUUUCAUUAACAUCACAAAAUUAUCCAAAACGAAUAAAACAUCUAAUUUUUAAACUAUCAUCCCGAAUCAUCCAAGACAAAUGCCUACAAAAAGUAACAUGAGAUUAACAAUAAUAAUAAUGAUAACUAAAAUAAAAUAAAUAAAAUAAAUUCAAAAACCAAAAAAACUAAAAAUCCUAACUUAAUUUAUAUUUUGUUCAAACAAUCAUUAACACAUCUCAUAUAAAUACAUCAAAUCCAACAAAACACUCAUCGGAAGACAUUAAAUUUUAUUAUAACCAUCCAUGAUUUCAUUCCCUUUCCUUUAACAAAUAAAUAAAAACAUGCCCAUAGCAUCAUUCACAUUAGGACUGACCAUAUAUUCACAUUCGUUUGCAUUUUAAAUCCAACAAAACGAAGUCAAAGAACACUAACCUUGCUUGCAACUACCCUCUUUCACGGUUGUGUCACUUUUUCUUCUCAGUCUAGUUGUGUCUGCUUCUUCGAUCUGGCUCGUGUGUUCCUUCACCACAAAGAGUCCCCGAAUCAGCCUAUGUGUCCUUUAGAAGUUCCACCCGGAAAAGUGAUUUCCAUGUCUACAAUUUUCUUCUGAAUCUUGUUCAAAAAAAAAAUCCCCUAAAAUUCCUCUAGAGCUCUCUUUUUUUUCUCCCUCAGACGUCUCCCUCUAUCUUCAAGCUCUCCUCUCCAAAAAAAAUCCUCCUCCUCUCUCCUCAACUGUCUUUCUCAUAAAAGUGAUUUCCAUGUCUACAAUUUUCUUCUGAAUCUUGUUCAAAAAAAAAAUCCCCUAAAAUUCCUCUAGAGUUUUUUUUUUUCUCCCUCAGACGUCUCCCUCUAUCUUCAAGCUCUCCUCUCCAAAAAAAAUCCUCCUCCUC